rnacentral:rRNA from 1 species
UGAAUACGAGAUGCUACGGCGUCGAAGCAGUCUAUGUCAUACUUCCAAGAAAAGCUUGCACUGUCAUAAACAAAUAAUGCCUGUACCAUAACCGACACAGGUGGGUAGGUAGAGUAUACUAAGGGGCGCGAGAUAACUCUCUCUAAGGAACUCGGCAAAAUGACUCCGUAACUUCGAGAGAAGGAGUGCCUUAUUUAUAAGGUUGCAAUAACAAGAUCCAAGCAACUGUUUACCAAAAACACAGGUCUCCGCUAAGUCGUAAGACGAUGUAUGGGGGCUGACGCCUGCCCAGUGCCAGAAGGUUAAAGAAGUUGGUUAGCAUCCGCGAAGCUGAUAACUGAAGCCCUGGUGAACGGCGGCCGUAACAAUAACGGUCCUAAGGUAGCGAAAUUCCUUGUCGGGUAAGUUCCGACCCGCACGAAAGGCGUAAUGAUUUGGAUACUGUCUCGGAGAGGGGCUCGGUGAAAUAGACUUGUCUGUGAAGAUGCGGACUACCUGCACCAGGACAGAAAGACCCUAUGAAGCUUUACUGUAACCUGAAAUUGAAAUUGGACUUUACUUGCGCAGUAUAGGUGGGAGGCGUUGAGAAUAUUCUUGCGGGAUUAUUGGAGCCAUCAGUGAGAUACCACUCUUGUAAUGUUAGAUUUCUAACUUUGUAUCAUUAUCUGGUCAAAGAACAGUUUCAGGCGGGCAGUUUGACUGGGGCGGUCGCCUCCUAAACGGUAACGGAGGCGCACAAAGGUUUCCUCUGAACGGGUAGAAAUCGUAUCUAGAGUGUAAAGGCAUAAGGAAGCUUGACUGUGAGACCUACAAGUCGAGCAGGGACGAAAGUCGGUCUUAGUGAUCUGACGGUGCUGAGUGGAAAGGCCGUCACUCAACGGAUAAAAGUUACUCUAAGGAUAACAGGCUGAUCUCCCCCAAGGGUUCACAUCGACGGGGAGGUUUGGCACCUCGAUGUCGGCUCAUCGCAUCCUGGGGCGGUAGUACGUCCCAAGGGUUGGGCUGUUCGCCCAUGAAAGCGGUACGCGAGCUGGGUUCAGAACGUCGUGAGACAGUUCGGUCCAUAUCCGGUGUAGGCGUUAGAAUAUUGAGAGGAGCCUUCUUUAGUACGAGAGGACCGAGAAGGACAUACCUCUGGUGUACCAGUUAUCGUGCCAACGGUAAACGCUGGGUAGCUAUGUGUGGAGUGGAUAACCGCUGAAAGCAUCUAAGUGGGAAGCCCACCUCAAGAUAAG